ACCACCUGUGUCACAUCCCAUUAGGUUCUGUGGAUGAGGCAUGGUGCUUGGCACAGACUGACACACGUUGGGGCAAACUUGGCAGAGCAGCCUAACCCAAAGCAAAAAACAGAAAUGAACCAAGAUACAACCUCUGUGGAAAACCCUACCGAACAAAAGCAACUCUGUGGAGUGUCCUCUCAGCUGCAAAUUGAGACAGAAUUGUGGGGCAAGCUUGGCCACUGAUGCAGUUCUGUCAUUUCAAGAACAUUGUAUAUAUGGACUUAUAUAUGGACUCACACAGCUCACACUGGCCACACCUGGGACUUCCAACAUGAAUGCUUUUGUCACGGAUGCUGCGCUGCUGCUGUUUCUGGUUCUUACUCUGCUUACACCAAGGAGACUGAUGUCCCUGCCAUAACCCCACUUCCGAUGCAGACAGCAAUUCCAAUGCAUUGCAGCUUUCAGGAUUUUCUCACUGUGAUUUUGCCUCUCCUUUUCUUUAAGACAUGAGCAUUUGUCUAUGGGGAUGGCCUGAAGUGUAGUCUCCAUUACCCAGAGUCAUCUCACUCUCUGACCUUGACUCAUGAUCUGAGAACAAAUGCUCCCCUGCUUGUCUUCCUGAGGGGCAUCUGUCCCUCUUGCAAACAGAUUUCCUUUGGGCUCUAUCAUUUAGAAAUGCCCUUAUUUAUCUGAAUUAUAGUUCCAGUUCAGAACUUUUACAAAGGAACAGAUUGCUCCCAAUUUAAAAGCAGGUAAAUUCUAAAAGUUGGCAAGCCAGUCAUUUAGAAUUUGAGCCUCAUAUUCCAUAGGUAUGAAAUUAUACAUAAUGAAAAAGUUCCCAGGGC